AGCGAACGCUGGCGGCAGGCCUAACACAUGCAAGUCGAACGAACCUUUCGGGGUUAGUGGCGGACGGGUGAGUAACACGUGGGAACGUGCCUUUAGGUUCGGAAUAACUCAGGGAAACUUGUGCUAAUACCGAAUGUGCCCUUCGGGGGAAAGAUUAAUCGCCUUUAGAUCGUCCCGCGUCUGAUUAGCUAGUUGGUUGAGGUAAUGGCUCACCAAGGCGACGAUCAGUAGCUGGUCUGAGAGGAUGAUCAGCCACAUUGGGACUGAGACACGGCCCAACCUCCUACGGGAGGCAGCAGUGGGGAAUCUUGCGCAAUGGGCGAAAGCCUGACGCAGCCAGGCCGCGUGAAUGAUGAAGGUCUUAGGAUUGUAAAAUUCUUUCACCGGGGACGAUAAUGACGGGACCCGGAGAAGAAGCCCCGGCUAACUUAGU
rnacentral:rRNA from 1 species